AUGCAAGUCGAGCGAGAACCAGUCUUCGGACUGGGGACAGCGGCGAACGGGGUAGGAAUACCUCGGUGACGUACCCUCCGGUCGGGGAUAGCGGCGGGAAACUGCCGGUAAUACCCGAUGAUCUUCCUUGAUUUUAGCUUUGGGCCAAAGGUGUGAUUCCGCCCUGGGAUGGGUCCGCGUCCUAUUAGCUAGUUGGCAGGGUAAUGGCCUACCAAGGCGAUGAUGGGUACGGGGUGUGAGAGCAUGACCCCGCUCACUGGGACUGAGACACUGCCCAGACUCCUACGGGAGGCAGCAGUGGGGAAUAUUGGACAAUGGGCGCAAGCCUGAUCCAGCCAUGCCGCGUGAGUGAUGAAGGCCUUAGGGUUGUAAAGCUCUUUUAUCCGGGACGAUAAUGACGGUACCGGAGGAAUAAGCCCCGGCUAACUUCGUGCCAGCCGCCGCAGUAACAC
rnacentral:rRNA from 1 species